GUCUUCGUGGUGUAGUGGUCAGUACACUCGGCGCGAAACCGAGAUGUCCGUGGUUCGAUUCCCGGUGAAGGCG
rfam:Stegodyphus mimosarum contig6608, whole genome shotgun sequence.